UAUGUUGUAAUAUGGAAUGUUGAGGUAAUUAUGCCAUAAUGUAUUAUAGUGUAUUGGUGCAUUAGUGUAUAAGGAAUUGUAGGUGGAGCAGUCUACAAUGUAAGCUACCCCCCCUUCCUCAUCAGACAAUAGCCUUACUUUCCCGCCUUUUUGGGGGUACCUGUAUUGCCCAAUGUACUGAUACCCUAUAGGCAUGAUUGGGGAUCCUAUUGUAAGUUUUAGUGGAUGAGUGAUUUUCUUUUGUUCGGGGUCUGUGCACCCAGAGCUGCUAUAGCAGGGACAGAGAGACAUUGUAGAUUGGAGAGAGAGGAGAGAAGCACUAAUUUGUGCCUGCUAAUGGAGAUUGUUAUUUACUUCUGGCAGAUCACAAUUCAUGUAAGUUGAUUUAUACUGUUGGAACUGAUGAUUAUUAUAUAUAUUUCAUAUUAUUAAUGGAUGUCACAUUUUAUGAAUUGCUGAAGAUAAGAUAGUGAAAGUUGAGGAUUGUUGAACCAUGUUGUAUGUACACUGAUAUAAUGACACUUUAUGAUAAAUGUGAUUAACUUAUUUCAUUUGCAUUACAUGUAUCAUGCUUUAUAAAGUAGAUUAUUAUGCUUGAAUUUCUGAUAAUGAUGAAAUGAUAAUUACUCUGACAAAUUAAAUUAAUUUUAAGUUUGUCUUUAUAUAGAUUGAAACAUGUUUCUGUUAAACAAAGUCAAUUAAAAGAAUGACUACCAAAGAGGAUUUAUAUAUAUAUAUAUUUGAAUGUAAUUACAUUGUGUCAUGCAGUUUUCACAAAGUCAUUAUUGUGAAGUAAGAAUUGUUAUUUUAUUGUUGUUACCUUUAGGGCUGCAUGUGGUGAAAUCUCCUUAUUUGAUGAACUACACUUUCUACAAUAAGGUGGAAGCUUUGUUUAUGAUCAGGGGUCGGACGACAGCAUAUAGCGUUAGUGUUGCUUCGUCGUUAUAGUAUUGGCCGGGGCUGUGUUUUCUUUGGUGAAUAAAUGCAAGACUAAAGUUUA